UACAGAGGGGCGAGCGUUGUUCGGAAUUACUGGGCGUAAAGGGCGCGUAGGCGGCCCGCUAAGUCGAACGUGAAUCCCAGGCUCAACCUGGAACUGCGUCCGAUACUGGCAGGCUUGAAUCCGGAGAGGAUGUGGAUCAGUGUAGCGGUGAAUGCGUAGAUAUCUGAGACACGUGCGAAGCGCAUCUGACGUAUGACGCUGAG
rnacentral:rRNA from 1 species